AGUACGGCGAGUGAGCGGCAAAAGCUCAAAUUUGAAAUCUGGUACCUUCGGUGCCCGAGUUGUAAUUUGGAGAGGGCAACUUUGGGGCCGUUCCUUGUCUAUGUUCCUUGGAACAGGACGUCAUAGAGGGUGAGAAUCCCGUGUGGCGAGGAGUGCGGUUCUUUGUAAAGUGCCUUCGAAGAGUCGAGUUGUUUGGGAAUGCAGCUCUAAGUGGGUGGUAAAUUCCAUCUAAAGCUAAAUAUUGGCGAGAGACCGAUAGCGAACAAGUACAGUGAUGGAAAGAUGAAAAGAACUUUGAAAAGAGAGUGAAAAAGUACGUGAAAUUGUUGAAAGGGAAGGGCAUUUGAUCAGACAUGGUGUUUUGUGCCCUCUGCUCCUUGUGGGUAGGGGAAUCUCGCAUUUCACUGGGCCAGCAUCAGUUUUGGUGGCAGGAUAAAUCCAUAGGAAUGUAGCUUGCCUCGGUAAGUAUUAUAGCCUGUGGGAAUACUGCCAGCUGGGACUGAGGACUGCGACGUAAGUCAAGGAUGCUGGCAUAAUGGUUAUAUGCCGCCCGUCUUGAAA
rnacentral:rRNA from 1 species